GCACUGUUGAGUGCCCCAGGCAUUUCCCAUGCCAACCUGUGCCAGGCUUGGGACACUUGGGUUCCACCCAGGCCUGGGCUGUCUCCCAAAUCUCAGGCUCUGCUGACCCUGGCUCAAGGGGCCUGUGUGUCCCAUCGAGACCCUGCCCACCCCCUCCCCCCCGGGAGGCCAAGCUGCUCACAGGAGCUCACAAGAGGUGCAGGGACUUGCAGGGUGAGCGGCAGCCGUGGGAAUCGUGGGAUUCGCUGGACCCCACAUCUGGCCUCUGUCCUACACACAUCACAGGUUACCUCACUGGGGGCCUUGGGCCUGUCUGUGUCUGUCAGUCCCAAACAGACUCCUCUUUGGGAUUUCAUGGUCAGGCCAGGUCAGCCUGGGGUGGACCCUUCCUACAGCGUUUCCCAUACCAGCCAAUGACCGGAGUCAGGGAGGGAAGGCAACAGAGUGGGUGCUACCUGAAGAUGGGGUGCUCUUGCUGAGGGGCAUCGGCUGAGAGGUUCCUGGCUUUGGGGUCUGUGCUGUGUCCCCACCGGGAGUGGCUGGUUGGUGGGAGGUGCUGUUUUCUGCACCCGGGGGCCCCCCGGGUGUGGACGAGGUUGGUGGCCUCAGAGUUGUGCCAGAGGGUGGAUGAGGGCCUGUGCCUCCCCCAGA
rnacentral:lncRNA from 1 species